rnacentral:rRNA from 1 species
AGCGAACGCUGGCGGCAGGCCUAACACAUGCAAGUCGAACGGACCCUUCGGGGUUAGUGGCGGACGGGUGAGUAACACGUGGGAACGUGCCUUUAGGUUCGGAAUAGCUCCUGGAAACGGGUGGUAAUGCCGAAUGUGCCCUUCGGGGGAAAGAUUUAUCGCCUUUAGAGCGGCCCGCGUCUGAUUAGCUAGUUGGUGAGGUAAUGGCUCACUAAGGCGACGAUCAGUAGCUGGGCCGAGAGGAUGACCAGCCACACUGGUACUGAGACACGGCCCAGACUCCUACGGGAGGCAGCAGUGGGGAAUCUUGCGCAAUGGGCGAAAGCCUGACGCAGCCAUGCCGCGUGAAUGAUGAAGGUCUUAGGAUUGUAAAAUUCUUUCACCGGGGACGAUAAUGACGGUACCCGGAGAAGAAGCCCCGGCUAACUUCGUGCCAGCAGCCGCCGUAAAAC